rnacentral:lncRNA from 1 species
CUGUAGAAUGAGCACCUUGUCCUUUCCCUCGACAAGAAGUUUUCAAGGAACUAUGCUGACUUUGCUAGCCCAAUCUCGAAAGUACUCUCAGGUGGAAGAAACCCUGGAUCCACUUGGCAGGAGGAGAGAAAGAAGAUCUCCGAGAAGUAGAAAAAUUGAAAAAAUUCCUGAGUAGCUCAAACCGAGAGGGAGUCUUUCCGAUUGCAAAAAAGCUACCCUCCAAAGAGUCACUAUAAGAAAUAAGACAAUUAGCU